rnacentral:rRNA from 1 species
UACGUAGGUGGCAAGCGUUACUCGGAAUCACUAGGCGUAAAGCGCACGUAGGCGGUUUGAUAAGUCUGUUGUGAAAGCUCCCGGCUUAACUGGGAGAGGUCAACGGAAACUAUCAGGCUAGAGUGUGGUAGAGGUAGCUGGAAUUCCCGGUGUAGCGGUGAAAUGCGUAGAUAUCGGGAGGAAUACCUAUGGCGAAAGCAGGCUACUGGACCAUCACUGACGCUGAUCUGCGAAAGCUAGGGGAGCAAACGGG